rnacentral:rRNA from 1 species
GACGAACGCUGGCGGCGUGCUUAACACAUGCAAGUCGAACGGAAAGGCCCUGCUUUUGUGGGGUGCUCGAGUGGCGAACGGGUGAGUAACACGUGAGUAACCUGCCCUUGACUUUGGGAUAACUUCAGGAAACUGGGGCUAAUACCGGAUAGGAGCUCCUGCUGCAUGGUGGGGGUUGGAAAGUUUCGGCGGUUGGGGAUGGACUCGCGGCGUAUCAGCUUGUUGGUGGGGUAGUGGCUUACCAAGGCUUUGACGGGUAGCCGGCCUGAGAGGGUGACCGGCCACGUUGGGACGGGGAUGCGGCCCGGACUCCUACGGGAGGCAGCAGUGGAGAAUAUUGCACAAUGGACGGAAGCCUGAUGCAGCAACGCCACGUGGGGGAUGACGGCCUUCGGGUUGUAAACCGCUUUCGCCUGUGACGAAGCGUGAGUGACGGUAAUGGGUAAAGAAGCACCGGCUAACUACGUG